ensembl:lncRNA
CCCAUUCUGACUCCAAAGCCGGAAGCUAAGAGCCUCUAGGCGCUCGCUGGGGCUCUGCCAUGAAGAACUGCAGCUGCCUUCCCAUCGGCUCCAAGAGCAGCGCCAGGCUGAAGGGACAGGGUGCUCCUCGCAUGCUCUCGGCUCCACAGGACACGUGGAAACACAAGCCAGUGUGGAGGAAUGCCUCUGACUCUCCCGGUUCCCUGUAUCAUUUGACUACGAAGCUGAAAUAACCUUGAACAGCUGUUUUGGUUGUUGCUGCCCUGCAGCUCAGGACUCCCUGCGUUUUGUCUGCUGGCGAGGAUCCGAUGGGGCUUGUACAACAAAGGACAACACAUGGGCUGGAGAUUCCACGUCACUGGAGACUCACAGCCGAUGCUGCUCGGGAACCAGAGGAAAACCUGGGAGGAUGCAGUGCCUUCCUGUCUCCUCCAGAAAACCUUCAUUUCUGGGCAGCACUUUCACUGUGACUGUUACCGAGUCCAAGCCUGUGCUGGUCGCUGAGCGACAGGUCAAAACAUCAAGAGCUGAGUUGUGCGGGAUGCAAGACGCAGAAGUUUGCAUUUUACCUUGGAGGCCACAUUCAGGCAUUCUCUAGCCGCUGGACUCCUGAAGACAUCAAUGACACGUAAGCCCUGAAUCUUCAUCGGAUCCAUCUGCCAUCCUCUCUAACCUUGCAGCUUGUGGGAUCUCCAUUCCCUGACCAAGGACUGAAUCUGGGCCACAUCAGUGAAAGCCUGGAAUCCUAACCACUAGGCAACCAGGAAACUCCUACCAAAGCCAUUCUUUAGAGGAACCUACAUGUCCCAGACAUAAAGAUGUCCCCUUUUUGAACACAAGACCCUCCAUUGCUUUGUUUGUGAAUCGAGGCUGAUGGUGGUGCUAGUGGUAAAGAACCCGCCUGCCAAUGCAGGAGACCUAAGAGACGCGGGUUCUCUCCCUGGGUCGGGAAGAUCCCCUGGAGAAGGGCAUGGCAACCCACUCCAGGAUUCUUGCCUGGAGAACCCCAUGGACAGAGGAGCCUGGCAGGCCAAAGUCCACGGGGUUGCACAGAGUCAGACACGACUGAAGCGUCUUAGCACACAGUGCCCAAGGAUCAGAUGAGGCAGUGCCUGAGCAUGUAGCCCGCUGAUGGGGGCAAGCCAUGCCACCCCCUUCCCCUGCCCAAUGCAGAUGGCACGGAGUCACCAAAAAGUUUGUUUUUCCCCAGGAGGGACUGAUUCAGCAGCUGAACUUGCUAUACUGUCUCAAUACAGUAUAGCAAGUGGUUUCUGAAACAAAAUCUAAUUCCUAAGCAGGACCUAGGCACUGUCCGGCUCUCUGUCCCCAGAAAAGUCUUUGUUGAGACGCCUAAGACAUUUCAAGGGCUUAUGAAUGGGUAGCUGUGUUUAAUGAGUAUAUUCUGUAACUUCCAGGCAUUCUGUUCAGAUGGCAUUAUCCAAACAGUGCUGAGCAAAACUUCAGUUCAUCGGGGGACACCGAGCACACCUCCUUGGGUUCUUUGCCAGUUCUUGAUUUAGGGAAGUUGAGGGCGGAGGCUCCGUAACCAUGGAGGAGAGAGGAGGCAGGACACGGGUGUGUGCGCAGGCGGAGAGUGGGCGGAGGCAGGAAGGGCCUGCUUCUCCGCUGGGGAGGGGAACGGGGAGGGCUG